GAUGGGUUGGAGCAAACGUUAAUCCAAUGUUGCCCCCUGAAAUGACUACCUUUGCUGUGCUUCCAAACAUCGGUUACUUUGAAUUCAUCCCGCUAAAGGAAAAUGCUCAAGAUCAGCAUCAGGAGAACAAGCCGGUCGGUCUGACCGAAGUCAAGAUCGGUGAAGAGUAUGAAAUAAUUGUUACCAAUGUUGCAGGGCUAUACCGUUACAGAUUAGGAGACGUGGUGAAAGUAAUGGGGUUCCACAACGCAACGCCAGAGCUAAAAUUCAUUUGUCGAAGGAACCUUCUGUUGAGCAUCAACAUCGACAAGAACACGGAAAAGGACCUCCAGCUAGCAGUGGAGGCAGCUGGGAACGUGCUAGCAGCAGAGAAGCUGGAAGUGGUUGACUUCACAAGCUAUGUGGACGUGUCGAGGGAGCCGGGGCAUUACGUG
rnacentral:misc_RNA from 1 species